CUUCUAUUCUCGCUGCAUUAUUCAUGUAUCUGGUAUCAGGAGUGUUGUUUGUCAAGCUAGUACAGUAGUCAUCAAUCAUCAAAGCUGUGAACUUGUCCUUCAGAUCCAUUUCCAGGUUAUAUUUUGCUGAACGGACUGUCCUCCUUGUAACUGGUUAGCACUGAAGGUAACUUCGGACCUGUGCUCAGCCUGACCCUACAACUUCUCAGGAAUAUGACUGGCCUACUUUUCAGCUUAUCAGUGUUCAGUUACACACUUUGCACCUGAUUUGCUCAUCAGUUUGUUCCAGCGUACGUCCAAGCAAAGCAAUAACCCCCUGGAGGAUUUCAACUUCCUUCACCAGUUCCUGUUCCACUUCAUCAUGCACCAAGUCAAUCCCAACUCUCCUCUGCCUAAACAAAAAGAGGAAAACCCAUCAGCCCUUGUUGAAAUGCCUGCAGCUAACAGAAGAUGAUGAAGCCCAGCUUUCCAAACUGAAGACUUUUUCUUGCCACAUAGAAGUUUUUCCUUUAUGACCUGGGUUCCCCAGUGUUACAAUAAAUCAGACUGUUACUCCACUGUCCUUAAUUUACAGCCUCUUCUAUUACUUGUUAAAAGUUGAUUACCUAGAUUUUUUUUUUUUUCUCUCUCUGAAUGCUUUUCUUCUAAUUAUCAUCUCACCUGUUCAGGAGACAUUUUUGGGCAAUGACAAGUGGCUCUUUGCAGCUCUCCAAUGAUUUCUCCAGGCGAGUCUUGAAUGUUAACAGUAACUCUGUCUCAUGCACAACUUCUUCAAGUUUGUUACUUAAUUCUUGCUUCCAGAAUUUUAUUUCUUCCCGUCUCUGCUCUGCAGAAUGAAAAUUGUAAACAGGUUUUAAUACAAGCCCAUCUCUACAUGUGAGACCACUGCGGGUCAGAUCUUAGAUAUGACUAAAAAUAGACUUAUUCCAUAGUGGAGUGGAUGUAAUGCUGUAGGCUGAUGUGUGGACAGUUUUGCAACCCCGUGUCAGGAAUUUUGGUUGCAAUAGCCUUCUGUGUGGUUUAUCUGUGUUACAAAAUAAAAAGUCUGCCUCAAAAUA